rnacentral:rRNA from 1 species
UACGUAGGGGGCAAGCGUUGUCCGGAUUUAUUGGGCGUAAAGAGCGUGUAGGCGGCCACACAGGUCUGCUGUGAAAACUCGAGGCUCAACCUCGAGCUGUCGGUGGAAACCGUGUGGCUAGAGUCCGGAAGAGGAGAGUGGAAUUCCCGGUGUAGCGGUGAAAUGCGCAGAUAUCGGGAAGAACACCCGUGGCGAAGGCGGCUCUCUGGGACAGUACUGACGCUGAGACGCGAAAGCGUGGGGAGCGAACAGG